AAUUAAUGUAUAGAGGAACACAGAUUUAAACGUUGGUUGCGUCCCUGGCAACCGUUUUUGGCGCGUGCACAAAUGGUUGGUGCAAAUGGAGUUCUUGAGGGGGCUCUGCAAUCGGUUCCCUAGGUGUGGGUGGAGCAGCAAAACCAAGACAUCCCAUGAUCCUGGUCUGCGUGGGGUCGUGCGGAGUUUUGGAGGGUUUUUAUUUGGCCUGUUUCUCGCCUCUGUGUAUGGGAUGACUGCGCUGUUCUUACAGAACCAAGGCCUCUGGUAUUGCGUGUACACCACGGUAGCAAUAGCGUUCUUCAUAGCGUUUGGCAUGGGUCUUUCCAUCCGCGUGCGAGAAAAUGUAAUGCUCAUGAUGCCGAUGCUGUGUUCAAUGAAGGGCAAGAACUUUCUCCUGUUCCUCAUCUUCUCCAUGUUGGUCCAGGGUCCCAUGACAAAUACCUUGGAAAACUUUGACCGUGCAGCCGACAGCGUGGUCUGUGGGGCCGAACUGGCCAUGAACCAGACCCAGCAGCUGAUGGAGCGGGUAGCUACACCUCUCCUCCCUGUGCUGGACAAGAUAAAAGAGUUGACCAGAAAUGCACACAUUGUGGCCGGGAGGGUACAGAACUUCAUCAAGGCCCUGACUGAGUCUGUCCGUCACUUGGCUCGUUCCUUGAGAAAUGUGUUACAUUUCCUUGGUGGCAUUGGCGAUGUGUGUAACGAAAAACUGGGCACCCCUUACAGCAAAUGUAACAAGUUAUUUGAUGAUGCUCGCGAUGACUGCAUGGAGCUCUUGUCCGUGUUCAACUUCCUGUGUCACAUCAUGGAUGGGUUUCGCCCCCUCUGUGGGCUCACUCGAGCUGGCCAGGUGUUUUGUAUAAUCCCUUCUUACAUUGUUGGUCACAUGAAGACCAAGAUAGCUGCCUCGGCAUUUGAGAAGAUGAAGAAAGAGUUUGAGUUCAACAUCUCAGCCUCAAUGCACUUUGACGUGAAAGUCAACAGUAGUGUUUCACUGCAGCAGAUGUCACAGGAACUCAUGAAGGAAGUCUCAUCGGAGUUGGGACGUUUCCAGCGCGUUAUGGGGCUGCUAGCCUAUUUAGGCCUCUUCCUCUUGCUACUUAUGUACCUCCAGGCUGUCCUGUACAAACAUAAGUACCUCCACCAGGAUGACUUUGAUAACACUUACAUAACAGAACAGUUUGAGGAGCUUGACCAGCAAUUGGCUAGAGAAGGAAAACCCACUGUCCUACCACUCAGCCAGCGAGAGGCCUGUACCUAUAUCAGACCAUUCUCAGUGUACCUGACAGCCAGGGAGUGGCGGGUGGCUUCCCUCAGCGCAGUGUCCAUCCUCAGGCACAUGGCCAUAGGCUUUGUGGUGGUUGCGCUGGACCUGAUGGUGUUCUGGAUGUUUGACCUGGUGCAUCACCAAGCCCAGGGGGACAUUGUGGCCAGAGCACCAGUCAUAGUGGUGGUAAAGGUGACUGGCACAGGCUAUGCUUCAGAUAUCUUCAAGGACGUAGUGUCUUCCUUUGACAUUCUGCAGAAGGUCAACAUUACUGUCCUGAGUAAGAAGUGUCUGAUGGAGCCUUCAAAGCCGGACUACUCAGGAUACAUGCUCAUAGGUAAAGACAGUGUUUUUGACUCCGCUCGGGGCAGGAGAGGGUGCAGCUUCUCCACAGUAAGAUCCAGUGCCAGCGUACAUCUCUUGGUAAAGCCCUGCUGAGGUCUAUAGCCAGGAGCAGGGCUGACGCAGAGGGGACCAACUUUUUGCAGACACUAACAAAGCGCCUCCCAUGUGGGUCAUACCUGGCUCAGUUUCUAGGGGUGUCUUCUGUCUCCUGCAUGGCUUGUGGAAGGGGAGGAGCAGGACAGGAGGACCCCAGCAUGGUCACAUGCCUGACUCCUCAAUGUAAAGGGGUAUAUUGUAAGCAGUGCUUUCAGUGUGUAGGCCAGCUGUGUGCAUUGUGUAUGGGACCCCUGACCUUCCAGGAGGACUAUGAGGAGGAGCUAGACUCCAGUGACGAUGAGCAGCUAAGCCUAUGGUCCGCCGCUCUGACUUCCCCCCACAUCGCUGAUAGAGGCACCAGGAGACUGAUGAAGAGGAGAAUCUCUAUGAUAAUUCGGCGGCGGCCCUCAGAGAGCAGGGUGCAGCGUGGGGCCAGCGGUGUAGAUCGGGUGGAGGGAGACAGCGGGGACAGUGACGGAAGUAGUGGUCAUAUCACUGCCCCCAGCGGCUCUGAACACAGUGAACCAGAUAUGACUUACCAAGAUUACUCAGAACAGGACAACUGUGGAUCUAGUGACCAAAACUGUGACCACUGUUAUGGUCACCCAACAUUGUCCCUCUCAGCCACCAAGACCCAAGGUUUCAAGAGUUUCCUCCCUGACAAUAAUACAUGUGACCGUACUGACCACUCCCAGGAUGGAUACCUGAAGACAGUUAUAGUCCACAGAGUUGACAGUAACUCUCAACCACCAGCCAAUGAGCUUCACUGACGAUCAUAAAAAACAGAAGGUGCACAGCUCAGAACACUGCAGUCUGUGAUAGAAGUAAAAUGUCAAAAGUGUGCAAA